ACAUGUUUGUUUAGACCAUAUAUGGACUGAUGUUUAUGCUCCGAAGAUUAAUCAACAACAAACCUUAGAAGGCCAUCUUAUGCAUACUGAGUGGUAGGUGAUCUUCAAAAUAGAUAUGUUAUAUAGUCUGACUAAGAGAUUUUAGAAGGAUGUCAACCUUCAAGUGCUAAGAUGCAAACUAAAAAUGACUAGUAGGAUGAUGUACUUGGCCAGUAGACCAAAGUUGUGCUUAAUUGUCAGGCCAAGUUGUAUGUAGGUCAAAGUUAUACUCAAUAAGUUAUAUGCAGCUCAAUAUACUUGGAUAAUAAGCUGAAAUAUAUGGCUAGUGGGUCAAGUAGUAUCAAGUAUUCCAGUCUUUUAUCAAGUGUCAAAAAAGCAAGACAAAAUACCAAAGGUUCAAACUGAAACACUAAGAGCACACAAGCUGAUGCACCAA
rnacentral:lncRNA from 1 species